GUAACCUUGCUCUGACCUAGCAUACUUGUAUACAAAUUGAAAUGCAAAUAUCUAGGUCUGAGCGAGGCUAGACCUAGUCAUGCUAAUCGAAUGAUAGCCUCGGCCAAUGAAAAUCUCUUCACUCCAUGUUUUCAUGAUGCUGUCAGCCAGGCUCCUGUCUUAAGGGCUGGCACUCAACACGUAGUUUCAUGUCCCAUGAUCAAGCUGUAGGACUACAAUAUGACUAGACCUAAGAUGCUAGGCGAUAUUGAAGAUAUCUAUAUUAUUGGAUUCUAAAUUCUGAAAUGCUUGGAAAUUUACAAGCACAGAAGUUCCAAUAUCCGAGGAACCAGUUACAGGAGCCAUGCAUUAGUCACUACAUAGGAGAUUAAACCAUGAUGACUCAUAACAUUUUUUCAGCAGUUAAGAGAUGCAGUUAAAGCUGAUACUCCUGUUCGAAAAACUCAAGACCUUGUCACGUGGGUCAACUAAAAGUACAUCUAUUUGAAACGGAAGGAACGGUUUCCAUGGUUAGAGGUCAUGAUUCAUGUUACAUUUCAUCAUCUCAAACAAUAGACAAGGACGACCACUAAUAAAGUGACAUUCGAAAAACUUUCUUUUAUGUAUGGUAGACAAAAUCGAAGUCAAUAAAUAACAAGAUCACCACAUGUUUAGAAGUUUGUGAUUCAGUUAUAUCAUUAUAAUUCAUAAAAACAAAAAGACGAUCCGCUGUGUGCUAACCAACAAAGGAAUAGCAAAACGAAUACAACUGUAAAUCAACUCCGGGUACAGGUAUGAAAUCCUACACGCUGUAGGUAGUGGUAAAUUAUCAACUGUAAAUCAACUCCGGGUACAGGUAUGAAACCCUACACGCUAUGGGUAGUGGAAAAUUAUCAACUGUAAACCAACUCCGGAUACAGUAUGCAUCGGCAACCAAUGCUGAAGACUAGACUUCAGAGGUGAAACAGUUAAGAAGCAAAAUGAAAUCAGUUCUUCCUGAUGGAUGGGCGGGUAUUGCUGCAAUACUGCACAUUGUGCAAGGAUGUCGACAUCAGUGUUCUUCAAUUGUAGAUCAGAGGUGAAAUUGAAAAGAGAAUAACGUAGAUGCCUAAUACAUUCUUUGAUUGGCCGUACCAUCUGUUGUGGACUAUAAUUUCACCUACUCAAGACUCAUCAGCACAUCUUGGAUCCGCAAACCAAAGAAAUACCAUUAGGCCUGUUAUAAUGUUGAAGUGUAUAAAUUGUAUAUAAUAUAUAUAACUUGUUAACUAAUUAUUAGUAUUAUUGCAUCAUUAUUGUUUGACGUUGUAACGGUCGAAAAUAACAUGCCGCUAUAACUAGGUGGCACUGGUUAGUUACUUUACAUAAAUCCAGCUGGCCGAUUAUGAUCAUAUUUAGUAGUUUGACAAACAUGGCAUGACAACACAAAACUGUUAAUGUCCUUUCUCAUACCAGGCCAAUAAACAUGUCUGGAUAUUUUGUCUAUUGUUUUUCGGACACCUAGAUGACCAGCCGUAGGAUGAUCAUAGAAUUUGAUUAACAUCGAAAAGUCUCAAUGUUUUGGGAAUACCUGGUCUGAAUUCACCGUUGCUAUCAACCCCUUUUUGUGUAAUAAAGAACAUUAUCAUUCAA